rnacentral:lncRNA from 1 species
UUUCUCUGUACUUUAAUAAACUAUGAGUAAACUAACAGAAGAGCACUCCUGCGUAUUACAGAAUCCGAAGACGACAGGUGGGAUAGAGCCCAAAGCCUAUGUGGAUGCAAAUCAGUAAGAACCACCCGAGACAGCGACAGACAGGUGACACGGAGUGCCUGCGUCCCAGGUGCAAAUCAGUAAGAACCACCCGAGACAGUGACAGACAGGUGACACGGAGUGCCUGCGUCCCGGGUGCAAAUCGGUAAGAACCACCCGAGACAGUGACAGACAGGUGACAGGGAGUGCCUGCGUCCCAGGUGCAAAUCAGUAAGAACCACCCGAGACAGUGACAGACAGGUGACAGCGAGUGCCUGCAUCCCGGGUGCAAAUCAGUAAGAACCACCCGAGACAGCGACAGACAGGUGACACGGAGUGCCUGCAUCCCGGGUGCAAAUCAGUAAGAACCACCCGAGACAGUGACAGACAGGUGACACGGAGUGCCUGCAUCCCGGGUGCAAAUCAGUAAGAACCACCCGAGACAGUGACAGACAGGUGACAGCGAGUGCCUGCGUCCCGGGUGCAAAUCAGUAAGAACCACCCGAGACAGUGACAGACAGGUGACAGCGAGUGCCUGCGUCCCAGAUGCAAAUCAGUAAGAACCACCCGAGACAGUGACAGACAGGUGACACGGAGUGCCUGCGUCCCAGGUGCAAAUCAGUAAGAACCACCCGAGACAGUGACAGACAGGUGACAGGGAGUGCCUGCAUCCCAGGUGCAAAUCAGUAAGAACCACCCGAGACAGUGACAGACAGGUGACAGCGAGUGCCUGCGUCCCAGAUGCAAAACAGUAAGAACCACCCGAGACAGUGACAGACAGGUGACACGGAGUGCCUGCGUCCCAGGUGCAAAUCAGUAAGAACCACCCGAGACAAUAUGGGACAGACAGGUGACACGGAGUGCCUGCAUCCCAGGUGCAAAUCAGUUAAGAACAACCGGAGACAGUAUGGGACAGACAGGUGACACGGAGUGCCUGCAUCCUGGCGCCAGGCAUGCUGGGCGCAAUAAGACAGACAUGUCCCCCAUCCAUCGCGCCGGUCCCUUCCACGGGGUGGGCACUAUUAUCUACACGCUUUAUAUGUGGAGAAACUCCGCACCGUGCACAAGGCCACGCUGCUGGGACAAGGGCAGCAGGUAUCUCCAGGGCCUGGC